CUUCUCUCUCUAUCUCUCUUCCAAGCCCUAGGUUCCUUUACACAACUCUGCUCUCUCUCUCUCUCGCGUCUAAGCCCUAGAUUUCUUUCUCCGCUCUCUCUCUUGUCGAAGCCCUAUCUUUCUCUCUUCGCUCUUCACGACCUCUCACACACAGGAGUUCUUCACAUCUGGCUCUCACGACUGCCAUGGUUGAGGACAGCGAGGAAUAGCUUGGUUCUAAUCUAUAUCAACAGAUGAUGUUAAUAAGGCUUCCCGACUUCUAGAUACUGAGAUUCAAGUGCUCAAGGAAGAGUUGCAAAGAUCAAAUCUUGAGUUGGAUUCCUUCAAGGAAAAGAUAAAGGAGAAUCAAGAGAAAAUAAAACUCAACAAGUAGCUUCCAUAUCUGGUCGGCAACACAGUGGAGGAAAUGGUUGCAAGGAACAGAGGAUAUGGUUUAAAGAUCAAAUGGGGUCCAACACCGUGGCAUCCGUGGUAAUAAGACUUCUUGUAUUGGAGGGAAGGAUUAUAAUACAUUAGAUGACUCAACAAAAAGAUGUUUGGAAAUGUUAUGUGAUCCCGAUGGCGAGAUUCCUGAGGAAUUACGGAAUUUAGAACCUCAUCAUAUUGAACAUGUCUGUAAUGAGAUAAUGGAGCGGGAUCCCAAUGUUCGCUGGGAUGAUAUUGGUAACAUAAGAUGAUGUAGACUUUUCCCAUUUUCAUAUUCUCGUAGUAAGUUUAUGUAUUUGGAUAUUUUGUUUUAAUCAUAUUUUUUUGCCUGUCCAUUCUCUAGCUGGUUUGGAACAUGCUAAAAAAAGUGUGACUGAGAUGGUUAUAUAGCCUUUAUUAUGUCCUGA